ACCGAGUCAUUUAAUCAAAUAUUAUCUCUUUCAUUUCUUUUAAACUUUUCAUCUCGUCAACUCCCCUAGUAUCUUUAGCCAAAAAAAAAAAAAAAACUCCCCUGAUAUCUCCAAUCCUCAAAACUCUAGAACUCUUUGAUUUUAUCUGGUCGAAGACAUCGUCGCCUUUUGGAAAUUGGUCUGAUAAAAAAUGCUUGUGCAGUUGAAGAAUGGAAUACAACUUUCCUUGAGUGUUUGUUUUCCUGUGACAGGUUGCAGUCGCUUUAUGGCGAGUAAUAUGUGCUAUCUAUGUUUAAUAUUCCUGGGAUUUUGGGUUAUUAACUUCAAUAAGCGUAGAAAAUCUUCUACGUCGAUGUUUAAAAAAUUUUCAUUUCUUAUAAUUAAAAUAUUUUUUCAAUAUUUUUUUAUUAAUUCAUGUGUAUUAGUCAAUAUUGAGACUCAUUUAUUAAAUUUAUAACUUAUUUGGUGAUAA